rnacentral:lncRNA from 1 species
UUGUUGAGAGGUGAGGAACAUCUCCUUGAGCCUUGUGAACGUUGUUUCUUUUCCAUGCAGAUUUUCAUUCUUUGGCUGGCAUUCAUUCCCCGAAAUUUUGGGUGUUGAAAGCGUUUGAAGUUUUUGUGAGUCGUCAUUUUUGGAAGUUGAUAGAGAGAAAGCAAGCUUUGCUGUUUGACUGAUGCCAAUAUGGGAGAAAUUCGGUUCAG